AGGGAGGGAAAAAAGUGAAACAGUGAUUUCCAAUAUGAAGAGCGGUCUGUGCUAACUUGUAAGGUUAUAAAGCAAGAACAGAAAGCAAAACUAUCAAUGA